CAAAGAGCUUAUUUAUGGAGGAGUCAGCGCGCUUCGAUGGUCUGACCGGAGGACCAGCUGCUACUCCACUCCGUCUAUUCCAAGCUCAGUUCGGAUGUCCGCUUGUGACCUUCAGCUGCACUCUGUUUAAAUUAGCAUCCCAUCUCCAGCACUCCAGCGUGUGAUAACACAUCUGAUCUGAGCCGGCGUGGAGUCA